rnacentral:lncRNA from 1 species
UUCAAUCCAGCAUUGAAUAAUUCUUAGCUUUUUCCAAACAUUUUUUUCCAUAAAUCAUUGCCUCAAGGCAUAUACUGCAUCUUUGUACAAAGGCCAGCAACAAUAGUAUUUUAAGUUGAAACUUUAAAAGAAAUCGCUGCAAACGUUUCUGAAAAAUUGUCACAUAUUCAACAUGAAGCUUUAAAGGAAGUGAUAAUGGUCACAAACCUCCAGCAACAACGUCUUCCUUACAAACGCUAAAUAAAAGCAGUCUCAAGAGGUUCAUUAAUCAUGUCUUUGAAGCUCUACUGUGGUUGAGUUUUAUCCAAGGAAACUCAUCACUGUCCCAUCUCCUUAGUGGUAAUGCAACAUAAAAAUUAAACCAAGGAUUAGAAAAAGUGAGUCAAACUAGUGUUGCACUAUAAAUCAUGAAUAGCCAAUUAAAUUGAAUCAUCUGUAAUUAUGGAACUCAAAGCAAAGAACAAGCAUGUCAUAUAGGUCUAUGUAAAGACGAAUCUAAAAGUUGAAACCAAGAUCCAACAAUAGAAAAAUCAUAUGCAUUCACAAAAACGUUUGAAAGAGUUCAAGGACACAAGAGAACAAUGUAUGGUCACCAUCUUUUUCUAUAAGCUUCCAAAUCAUAGAUCUGAUUAAUGAACAAUUCGGUUGAGAUGCGAUUAGAAUUGAGAUCGAAUCGUUUCAAUUCAGAAAACGAUGAUGCUAGAGGAAGACAUAGGAAGAUGAUGGUGAGGAUUGACAAUACCAAAGGAAGAUGGAGACGAUGAUGCUGGAAAAAGGAGAUCUUAGAGUCAAUAUGAAAGUGACGAUGUGAAAGGAAGAGGGAGACGGCGGACAAGACGAAGACGACGGACACGACGGAGAAGACAAAGAUGACGGACACGGCGGAGAAGACGGACACGACAAAGAUGACGGAGACGACGAAGAUGGUGUCGUAGCUAAGUGAAACCGCUAGAUCUCGCCGGAAACAAUAUCGGAGUAUGACAAUGGAGAUGGGACGAUCAAUCUACACUACAAGAAAAUAUGGUAUAAUCCUACCAAUUUUCCUACGAAAUAUAUGGUAGGAUAAAUUUCCUACGACUUAUUUACAAUUCUUUUACGAAAAGUUAUUAUCGUAGGAAAUUGGAAACAAAUUUUCUACAAAUAUUUUUCGUAAGAAAAUC